rnacentral:rRNA from 1 species
UACAGAGGUGGCAAGCGUUGUUCGGAAUUACUGGGCGUAAAGCGUGCGCAGGCGGUUCGUUGUGUCCGAUGUGAAAGCCCCGGGCUUAACCUGGGAAUGGCAUUGGAAACUGUCGAGCUUGAGUGCGGCAGAGGGGGGUGGAAUUCCGCGUGUAGCAGUGAAAUGCGUAGAGAUGCGGAGGAACACCGAUGGCGAAGGCAGCCCCCUGGGUCGACACUGACGCUCAGGCACGAAAGCGUGGGGAGCAAACAGG